GACGAACGCUGGCGGCGUGCCUAACACAUGCAAGUUGAGCGACGAACCAGGGCUUGCCCUGGGGCAAAGCAGCGAACGGGUGAGUAACACGUGGGUAACCUACCCCGAUAACCGGGACAACCCGAGGAAACUCGGGCUAAUACCGGAUGUGCUCACUGAACUUCGGUUCAGUGCGUAAAGGAAGCUUCGGCCUCCGUAUCGGGAGGGGCCCGCGGCCCAUUAGCUGGUUGGUGAGGUAACGGCUCACCAAGGCCGCGAUGGGUAGCUGGUCUGAGAGGACGAUCAGCCACACUGGGACUGAGACACGGCCCAGACUCCUACGGGAGGCAGCAGUGGGGAAUCUUGCGCAAUGCGCGAAAGCGUGACGCAGCAACGCCGCGUGGGGGAAGAAGGCCUUCGGGUUGUAAACCCCUUUCAGGAGGGACGAAGGUUCGGCGGUGAUUAGCCGUCCGGACUGACGGUACCUCCACAAGAAGCCCCGGCUAACUACGUGCCAGCCGCCGCAGUAA
rnacentral:rRNA from 1 species